rnacentral:lncRNA from 1 species
AGACAUAAAACAGGUGAUAAUGGCCAUUACACAUAGAACAAAAAAAUACGGCCAUUACACAUAAAACAGCAGAAUAUAGCCCUUACACAUGCAACGGAUGAAAACGGCCAUUAUACAUCAACCAUGAAAAUACGGCGUUUCACAUCAAAAAGAGAAUACGACCAUAACACAUGUAACAGGAGAAAAUGGCCAGUACACAUGAAAACAAGAAGAAACUGCAAUUACACAUAACACAAGAAGAAACAACCAUUACAUAUGAAACAAGAGAAAAGGGCC